GAAAGGAUCACUCGAUGCCGACAGGGCAAACUGCCGCUUGUCAUUCCAGAAGGGAAGUUAAGGCCGGAGGCACCUCUUCUUGCUGCAAAGUUCGCAACUGAAUGCAACGUCACAGUUAGACACCAUAUGCACGUGUUUAAGCGCUGGAAGGAUUACAAGGACCCAGAUGGACAUGUCCGAGAUGGGAUCUUCAGGAACUUUGUAGGAAAAAACAAGUUUCAGAUGGACGUUGAUGUUGUGCCAGUUAGGAAGGCAUGUACUAAAAUGCUGAAACGUGCGACUCGCCAACAACGAUACAGGCUCAAGAAAGAGUAUUUUGACCCGCACCCACUCCAUUUGGUGACGAGAACGUCUCCUGUCCCCUCGAUGACUGAUGAGCAGUGGAAUGAGCUAGUGGAAAGCUGGAAGGAUCCCAAAAAGAUGGAGAUAUGUGAAACUAACAAAAAUAAUCGAGCUCAAGUUAAGUUUCACCAAACCACUAGCUCGCGCAGCUACCCUGUGCACUGUGAUAAUCUGGGAGACAAAUACAAAGAUAAAGAACCCACUGCAUUGGAUUUGUUCAAGGAGUGCCACUACAGCAAGAAAAAUAAAAGCUACACCGGUGUUGUCCAAGCUGCA
rnacentral:rRNA from 1 species